rnacentral:rRNA from 1 species
GACGAACGCUGGCGGCGUGCUUAACACAUGCAAGUCGAACGGAAAGGCCCUGCUUUUGCGGGGUGCUCGAGUGGCGAACGGGUGAGUAACACGUGAGUAACCUGCCCUUGACUUUGGGAUAACUUCAGGAAACUGGGGCUAAUACCGGCUAGGAGCUCCUGCUGCAUGGUGGGGGUUGGAAAGUUUCGGCGGUUGGGGAUGGACUCGCGGCUUAUCAGCUUGUUGGUGGGGUAGUGGCUUACCAAGGCUUUGACGGGUAGCCGGCCUGGGAGGGUGACCGGCCACAUUGGGACUGAGGUAGGGCCCAGACUCCUACGGGAGGCAGCAGGGGGGAAUAUUGCACAAUGGGCGGGAGCCUGAUGCAGCAACGCCGCGUGCGGGAUGACGGCCUUCGGGUUGUAAACCGCUUUCGCCUGUGACGAAGCGUGAGUGACGGUAAUGGGUAAAGAAGCGCCGGCUAACUACGUG